GUCUCGAUAGCUAAGUGGUAUAGCAUGCGAUUGCAGUGAGAAAUCAACUAUCGCAGGGUCCGGUGUUCGAACCACCGUCGGGACU
rnacentral:tRNA from 1 species